CAGUAGCCGCGGGAAUACGAAGGGGGCUAGCGUUGCUCGGAAUGACUGGGCGUAAAGGGCGCGUAGGCGGCGGCCAAAGUCAGGCGUGAAAUUCCCGGGCUCAACCUGGGGGCUGCGUUUGAUACUUGGUUGCUUGAGUGGGGAAGAGGGUCGUGGAAUUCCCAGUGUAGAGGUGAAAUUCGUAGAUAUUGGGAAGAACACCGGUGGCGAAGGCGGCGACCUGGUCCUUUACUGACGCUGAGGCGCGAAAGCGUGGGGAGCAAACAGGAUUAGAUACCCGCGUAGUCCUGUCUCUUAUACA
rnacentral:rRNA from 1 species